rnacentral:rRNA from 1 species
UACGGAGGAGGCAAGCGUUAUCCGGAAUUAUUGGGCGUAAGGCGUCCGUAGGCGGUUGGCCAAGUCUGCUGUCAAAGGGUGGGGCUUAACCUCAUAAAGGCAAUGGAAACUGGCGAGCUAGAGUGCGGUAGGGGUAGGGGGAAUUCCCAGUGUAGCGGUGAAAUGCGUAGAGAUUGGGAAGAACAUCGGUGGCGAAAGCGCUCUGCUGGGCCUGCACUGACACUGAGGGACGAAAGCUAGGGGAGCGAAAGGG